UUCCCUCGAACCCGUAGCUUCUCACAUAAGCUAGAUUAAAAUCUCCAUCCUUCUCCUACACGAUAGCUUCCAAGACAAGUUAGUAGUCCAUUUCCCACUUGUAUCCCUCGACUUCCUGAGCAAGCAAGUGAUUCCCUUUCUCUUCUCCAUUCACUUGUCGGUUCUCAUUCACUGUCGGUUCUAAGGCACACAAAAGAGAAAAUUUCUGAAGUGUUUUUCCUUCGCCUCUCGGUUUCCUCUAACCCAUGCGAUCUCUCUUCUCUCAAAGCCGAUCUCUCUCUUUUCGUAAACCUAAGAUCUCCACCGAAAACCUUCAAGGAAAUUGACCUUCUUUGAGAUUUCGGAUUUCUCAUUUGCUGUGUAUUUUCGUGGCUUGAAAGGGGAGCCAAACAGGAGUUUAAUUUCAAGAUUCAAGGAAUUUACUUGUAAAGCCACAAGGUAUGAAUGAAGAGGUUGUGGAGCUGGGCACUGCUGAGGAGGGAGGGGCCGAUGCUUAAAAUUCCCUGUCAGUUCGGUUUUGAUAAUGAUGGUUAUGUUUUUAUGUUUUUAUGAUGGGUCCCAUGUUGGAACAUUUUGUUGGGUUAAUGUUAAAAUAAUAUGCCCUCGGGCAUAAUGUAAAUACUAUAGUGGGGUGAUGGUAAUGGUGUAACUUCUAUGGUGGGGUGACGGUAACCCCACAUAAAAAGGUUAAAUGCCUAUUUGUAUGUGUUGUAGGGACUGAGUCCCCUCUUAUUUAGGACUGGUUAUGUUUGGUGAAUGGAUGAUGGACUCUAACAGUCCUUUACUUAGAAUAUUGAACAGGUCUUCUAUCA